GAUGAACGCUGGCGGCGUGCCUAAUACAUGCAAGUCGAGCGAACGGACGAGAAGCUUGCUUCUCUGAUGUUAGCGGCGGACGGGUGAGUAACACGUGGAUAACCUACCUAUAAGACUGGGAUAACUUCGGGAAACCGGAGCUAAUACCGGAUGAUAUUUUGAACCGCAUGGUUCAAAAGUGAAAGACGGUCUUGCUGUCACUUAUAGAUGGAUCCGCGCUGCAUUAGCUAGUUGGUAAGGUAACGGCUUACCAAGGCAACGAUGCAUAGCCGACCUGAGAGGGUGAUCGGCCACACUGGAACUGAGACACGGUCCAGACUCCUACGGGAGGCAGCAGUAGGGAAUCUUCCGCAAUGGGCGAAAGCCUGACGGAGCAACGCCGCGUGAGUGAUGAAGGUCUUCGGAUCGUAAAACUCUGUUAUUAGGGAAGAACAUAUGUGUAAGUAACUGUGCCCAUCUUGACGGUACCUAAUCAGAAAGCCACGGCUAACUACGUG
rnacentral:rRNA from 1 species